rnacentral:rRNA from 1 species
UACGGGGGGGGCAAGCGUUGUUCGGAAUUACUGGGCGUAAAGCGCGCGUAGGCGGCUAUGUAAGUUAGAGGUGAAAGCCCGGGGCUCAACCCCGGAAUUGCCUUUAAGACUGCAUCGCUUGAAUCCGGGAGAGGUGAGUGGAAUUCCGAGUGUAGAGGUGAAAUUCGUAGAUAUUCGGAAGAACACCAGUGGCGAAGGCGGCUCACUGGACCGGCAUUGACGCUGAGGUGCGAAAGCGUGGGGAGCAAACAGG